AAAAACUUGUAUCUGAAAGAAAAUUUUUUUGCUUAAUAGUUCUAUUAAGCGAGCAUUUCUCUUUCAGAAGCAAUUUUUUUGUGUUUACCAAACUGUGGAAUGAAAUGAUUUUUGGAACUGUAUCUUUAAAAUAUUAUAACUGACGACAUGUAAGCUAUUUGUUUCAAUCUGCUAUAGGAAAGUCUUGACUUACUCUUCUGUAUCAGCCACUUGGUAAUGAAGCAUGGCUUUUCAAAUUUAUACUUUAAUUGGGUGCUUAUUGGGUUGUUCCAUAUGUUGAUGCCCAUAGAGAAUAGUAUCUUGAUGCAUUUAUUUUUAGCAGCUGUCACUGCAUUGUCCA
rnacentral:misc_RNA from 1 species